AUUGAACGCUGGCGGCAUGCCUUACACAUGCAAGUCGAACGGCAGCACGGAGCUUGCUCUGGUGGCGAGUGGCGAACGGGUGAGUAAUAUAUCGGAACGUACCCUAGAGUGGGGGAUAACGUAGCGAAAGUUACGCUAAUACCGCAUACGAUCUAAGGAUGAAAGUGGGGGAUCGCAAGACCUCAUGCUCGUGGAGCGGCCGAUAUCUGAUUAGCUAGUUGGUAGGGUAAAAGCCUACCAAGGCAUCGAUCAGUAGCUGGUCUGAGAGGACGACCAGCCACACUGGAACUGAGACACGGUCCAGACUCCUACGGGAGGCAGCAGUGGGGAAUUUUGGACAAUGGGCGAAAGCCUGAUCCAGCAAUGCCGCGUGAGUGAAGAAGGCCUUCGGGUUGUAAAGCUCUUUUGUCAGGGAAGAAACGGUGAGAGCUAAUAUCUCUUGCUAAUGACGGUACCUGAAGAAUAAGCACCGGCUAACUACGUGCCAGCAGCCGCGGUAAUACGUAGGGUGCAAGCGUUAAUCGGAAUUACUGGGCGUAAAGCGUGCGCAGGCGGUUUUGUAAGUCUGAUGUGAAAUCCCCGGGCUCAACCUGGGAAUUGCAUUGGAGACUGCAAGGCUAGAAUCUGGCAGAGGGGGGUAGAAUUCCACGUGUAGCAGUGAAAUGCGUAGAUAUGUGGAGGAACACCGAUGGCGAAGGCAGCCCCCUGGGUCAAGAUUGACGCUCAUGCACGAAAGCGUGGGGAGCAAACAGGAUUAGAUACCCUGGUAGUCCACGCCCUAAACGAUGUCUACUAGUUGUCGGGUCUUAAUUGACUUGGUAACGCAGCUAACGCGUGAAGUAGACCGCCUGGGGAGUACGGUCGCAAGAUUAAAACUCAAAGGAAUUGACGGGGACCCGCACAAGCGGUGGAUGAUGUGGAUUAAUUCGAUGCAACGCGAAAAACCUUACCUACCCUUGACAUGGCUGGAAUCCUUGAGAGAUCAGGGAGUGCUCGAAAGAGAACCAGUACACAGGUGCUGCAUGGCUGUCGUCAGCUCGUGUCGUGAGAUGUUGGGUUAAGUCCCGCAACGAGCGCAACCCUUGUCAUUAGUUGCUACGAAAGGGCACUCUAAUGAGACUGCCGGUGACAAACCGGAGGAAGGUGGGGAUGACGUCAAGUCCUCAUGGCCCUUAUGGGUAGGGCUUCACACGUCAUACAAUGGUACAUACAGAGCGCCGCCAACCCGCGAGGGGGAGCUAAUCGCAGAAAGUGUAUCGUAGUCCGGAUUGUAGUCUGCAACUCGACUGCAUGAAGUUGGAACCGCUAGUAAUCGCGGAUCAGCAUGUCGCGGUGAAUACGUUCCCGGGUCU
rnacentral:rRNA from 1 species